rnacentral:rRNA from 1 species
AUUGAACGCUGGCGGCAGGCUUAACACAUGCAAGUCGAGCGGGGGAGGUUGCUUCGGUAACUGACCUAGCGGCGGACGGGUGAGUAAUGCUUAGGAAUCUGCCUAUUAGUGGGGGACAACAUUCCGAAAGGAAUGCUAAUACCGCAUACGUCCUACGGGGGAAAGCAGGGGAUCUUCGGACCUUGCGCUAAUAGAUGAGCCUAAGUCGGGUUAGCUAGUUGGUGGGGUAAAGGCCUACCAAGGCGACGAUCUGUAGCGGGUCUGAGAGGAUGAUCCGCCACACUGGGACUGAGACACGGCCCAGACUCCUACGGGAGGCAGCAGUGGGGAAUAUUGGACAAUGGGGGGAACCCUGAUCCAGCCAUGCCGCGUGUGUGAAGAAGGCCUUUUGGUUGUAAAGCACUUUAAGCGAGGAGGAGGCUCCUUUAGUUAAUACCUAAAGAGAGUGGACGUUACUCGCAGAAUAAGCACCGGCUAACUCUGUGCCAGCAGCCGCCGUAACAC